UCUAGAUUUCAAGACUAAUCUUUAAGUCAAUUUGAUUAGACUCUUUACAAUAAUUUGUGGUUUAUAAUAGUACUUUAAUUGUUUAAUAAUUACAUUUAAUAACCAAUUGAACUUUUUUCAUCUUCAAUUUUUGUUAGAGACGUUUUAAAAUGAAGGAAAUGACGAUAUUAUUAGAUGAAAUUACUUAUUCAACAACAAGAGGCUACCGGAAAUGUCAGCUGUUCUGUAUAAAUACUGCAGAAUGAACCAAAUUGAAUUAAAGAAGGAGGGAAAUCCAAGAUGACUGUGAUGUUUAAGCUGAUACAAAAAGAUGAGGAUUAUACAGUAUGAAAGAAACAACCAGCCGAGAGAGUGGCAAAAAUGGAAAUGGUUAACGGUGAUCUAUGCCUUGUAAAGAGAUAAUCUUUCUUUUGAUUUAGAAGGCCUAAGGUGCAAAUGGAAGGCUUAAGGAUAAAGAUUUUACGGAUAAAGAUGGAGAUGAAGAUGAACCUGAUUAUGGUCAUGAUAAGUUUAAUCAUAAAUGUAAAAGGUGAUGGAUGAUAUUGUCUUGUGACUCUUUCAUUUUGAGAUGCUUUUUCUUCGCAAUGCAAUUUUUGCUAUUUUUGCAAGGUUGGUGAACUUGUGAGAGUUUAGAGAAAUGUUUCUCCAAUUUUUUCCCUCAUUUCACUAACCAAUUGUAAUUAUAACCAUUUAGUUUAAAGAAGAACAAGGAUAAAGCCAGUGUUAAUGGACAAAAAGGAUAUAAUUUUUAAUUACAUGUCACGUUAAGGUGAAACUUGUGAUUCUAAAAACAAAUUUGUUGACCUGAAGAGCCAAGAUUUUCCAUUGAUUCACUUUCUUUUCCUGACCUCAAUCAUGCAGAUUCACGUGGGGAACAAUGAACUGUGGUUAAUUAUUACAUUAUAAUAUUAAUAUCAACAUAAAUGUUCAAUUAGCAAAGUACAAUGUAAAUGGUUGUUGUACUAAUUGUAAAUUUUGUCAACACUUGAAGCAAGUGAAACAGUCAAGAUUGACAAGAUAAACAAUUGAAUUAAUUGUCAUGCAUACAAGCCAAACGAUUCAAGUUUUGGGUUGUAAUAAAAAAAUUAAUUUAUUACAA